GGUCAAUUGGCCGAGCGGUAUAAGGCGCCAGUUUAAGGCACUGGUGUGGGUUCGAAUCCCACAUUGGCCA